GACGAACGCUGGCGGCGUGCUUAACACAUGCAAGUCAAACGGAAAGGCCCUGCUUUUGUGGGGUGCUCGAGUGGCGAAAGGGUGAGUAACACGUGAGUAACCUGCCCUUGACUUUGGGAUAACUUCAGGAAACUGGGGCUAAUACCGGAUAGGAGCUCCUGCUGCAUGGUGGGGGUUGGAAAGUUUCGGCGGUUGGGGAUGGACUCGCGGCUUAUCAGCUUGUCGGUGGGGUAGUGGCUUACCAAGGCUUUGACGGGUAGCCGGCCUGAGAGGGUGACCGGCCACAUUGGGACUGAGAUACGGCCCAGACUCCUACGGGAGGCAGCAGUGGGGAAUAUUGCACAAUGGGCGGAAGCCUGAUGCAGCAACGCCGCGUGCGGGAUGACGGCCUUCGGGUUGUAAACCGCUUUCGCCUGUGACGAAGCGUGAGUGACGGUAAUGGGUAAAGAAGCACCGGCUAACUACGUG
rnacentral:rRNA from 1 species